CUCAGUCCAAACACAUGGGCCCAGCAUGGCCCAAAUCGUUUUUAACCCAAUACCCAUACAAUUGAAACCCUAAACCCAAAUUUAACCCAGACCUAAUUCCUAAAAUAGUGGCCCAAUUACUAUGAGGCCAACACCCGAAACAAUUCCAAAAACCCUAAGGCAGUAGGCAAACCCGAGCACCGCAAUAGCUCCACUCGUCUGCGCGUGUCAACCCUCUACCCUCACGUGCGCCUCCGUACCCUCCGCAUCUGCCACGCACACCGCUACAUUAGCACCGUACCUGCACACAAGCAAGCAGGCAUAAACGAAUAGAAAAUAGCACAACAAAUGGAGCGAAAAUUGUAAUAGCAGAGAGAAAAAAGGAAAAACAGAAAAAAGAGGGAUUUUUGUAUUUUCUUUUUUUGGCUAUAUAAAGCCAUUACAAAAUCUAUAAAAAAAAGAAAAAAAGAAAGGAGGAGAUCAAUAUAAAAAAUUUUGAAAAGAAGGUUUUCUUCUUUCUCUUAUCUACUCUGUUUUUUUCGGCUGCUUUUCUUUCCUUCUCUAUUUGCUAUUGAUUAUAUGUAAUAGAAUAUAUAUAAAAUAAAUGAGAAAAAGGGAAGAGGAAUCUCACCUUUGCGUGCCAUUGGAGCCAUCCUCUACUCUGUCCGAAUCGGAAUGAGAGAGAGGAGAGUUCUGGCUUUCAAGGCGGCGGAGAAGAAAGGGGCUUACCUGUGUAUCAGAACCGUCGAGUCAUCGAAUCCUAGGCCGCUUCGCAGUGGUCGAAGAUCGAAAGGGACGGAGGUUGAUUGUAGCGCGAUUCUGAUUGAAAGGGGGCUAGGGUUUUAGUUUGUUUCUAUUUUUAGGUUUUGUUUAUUUAUUCAUUUAGAUCUAAAGCAUAAAACGGCGUCGUCUGAUAGCCCUCAACCCGCGCGGUGACCCGGCCCAGGGGAAGGAUCCGCGCGUUUUGGGUCUACGGGAUUAUUGCGUAACUGGCCCGUCUGCAUUCGUUUUCAUUUCAAUUCGAUUUUUUUUUCGUUUUUUUAAUUGUUACCUCAUAUUUAGUUCCAAUUUCAAUUUGAUCCAUGAUAUAACGGCAUCGUUUUCGAUGAUUGGGUUUGAGUGCCUGGAUUUAUGAGUUUAAUUGCUGCUUUAGUCCAUUGAAUUUGAAUCGGUUGCAACUUUAAACCUUCAAAUAUCUACAUUUUAAUUUAAAUCCUUUUUUGCUAUGUUUACUAUUAUUUUUAGUAUUCUGUUUAAUUUUAUAAAAAAAAAAUUAGUAUUUACUAGUAUUCUUAUGUUUUUAUAUUAGUUAUAUCUUUUAUUU
rnacentral:lncRNA from 1 species